rnacentral:rRNA from 1 species
GACGAACGCUGGCGGCGUGCUUAACACAUGCAAGUCGAACGGUAAGGCCCUUCGGGGUACACGAGUGGCGAACGGGUGAGUAACACGUGGGUGAUCUGCCCUGCACUUCGGGAUAAGCCUGGGAAACUGGGUCUAAUACCGGAUAGGACCCUGGGAUGCAUGUCCUGGGGUGGAAAGCUUUUGCGGGGUGGGAUGGGCCCGCGGCCUAUCAGCUUGUUGGUGGGGUGAUGGCCUACCAAGGCGACGACGGGUAGCCGGCCUGCGAGGGUGACCGGCCAAACUGGGACUGAGAUACGGCCCCGACUCCGACGGGAGGCAGCAGUGGGGAAUAUUGCACAAUGGGCGCAAGCCUGAUGCAGCGACGCCGCGUGAGGGAUGACGGCCUUCGGGUUGUAAACCUCUUUCAGCACCGACGAAGCGCAAGUGACGGUAGGUGCAGAAGAAGGACCGGCCAACUACGUGCCAGCCGCCGCCGUAA